UACGUAGGGGGCAAGCGUUGUCCGGAUUUAUUGGGCGUAAAGAGCGUGUAGGCGGCCACACAGGUCUGCUGUGAAAACUCGAGGCUCAACCUCGAGCUGUCGGUGGAAACCGUGUGGCUAGAGUCCGGAAGAGGAGAGUGGAAUUCCCGGUGUAGCGGUGAAGUGCGCAGAUAUCGGGAAGAACACCCGUGGCGAAGGCGGCUCUCUGGGACGGUACUGACGCUGAGACGCGAAAGCGUGGGGAGCGAACAGG
rnacentral:rRNA from 1 species